rnacentral:tRNA from 1 species
GGAGAUGUAGCUCAGUGGUGGAGUGCUUGCCUAGCACAUGCAAGGGCCUGGGUUGGACCCCCCAGCACUGCCA